rnacentral:lncRNA from 10 species
CUCUCGCCGGCGGGCCGGCUUUCUACGCGGGGGCAGCGAGGCUGGCUCAGCACCCCGGGCCUCCUCUUGCAACCCUCGGGAAUGGCCGGCCGCCCCACUGAAAGCGCUGGGGAACCGAGAGGUGUCUUAGAAAGCUGCAUGAGUGGCAGAACGGUGGCUACUAUGACAGAGAGGCCGCCGUGGGCGAAGAGGGAGUGUGACAUUCUUCAGAAUUCAUCCUGGAAUCAAUAUUAUGCCAAAGAAAAUUUUCUGAAAGUCUUGCUGUGUCAGCCAGGCUGGAAUGCAGUGGCACCAUCUCAGUUCACUGCAACUUCUGUCUCCUGGGCUCAAGUAAUUCUCCUGCCUCAGCCUCCCGAGUAGCUGGGAUUACAGCUACACAGAUCAUACCACUGCAACUCAGCCAACCAGCACAUCGGACAGUGGGAGGAGGAAUUCUUGGCUAAGAGUACUGAGAGAUGGGGUUUCACCAUGUUAACCAGGAUUGUCUCAAUCUCCUGACCGCGUGAUCCACCUGCCUCAGCCUCCCAAAGUGCUGGGAUUACAGGCGUGAGCCACCAUGCCUGGCCAAAAUUCUGUAUGUCUUUCUAAUCUCACUUCCUAAUGGAGAUAAAAUAGAUCUCAGGCUUAUGUAUUUUUCUAGAACAUUAAAAUCUUGUUUUUUGUGUAUUUAUUAUUAAGUUUACCUUCUAUUGUGGAAAACUCUAUUGAUUCUUCAUUUAAAAUAGUAAUAUAAAUUUUAUUUUCAAGGAAUGCAUUUAGGAAACUAAAGAAGUCAAUGUAAACAACAAAUAUUGAAUAAAUAAUAGUCCAGGUGAUACACAAAGUUGGAAAAUACUACAACACCUACCAUUAAGAAAUUAUUACCAAAUAGGUUG